UACGGAGGGUGCAAGCGUUAUCCGGAUUCACUGGGUUUAAAGGGUGCGUAGGUGGGCAGGUAAGUCAGUGGUGAAAUCUCCGGGCUUAACCCGGAACUGCCGUUGAUACUAUCUGUCUUGAAUAUAGUGGAGGUGAGCGGAAUAUGUCAUGUAGCGGUGAAAUGCUUAGAUAUGACAUAGAACAUCGAUUGCGAAGGCAGCUCGCUACGCUAUUAUUGACACUGAGGCACGAAAGCGUGGGGAUCGAAACAGG
rnacentral:rRNA from 1 species